AUUAACGCUGGCGGCAGGCCUAACACCUGCAAGUCGGGCGGAUGAAGGGAGCUUGCUCCUGGAUUCAGCGGCGGACGGGUGAGUAAUGCCUAGGAAUCUGCCUGGUAGUGGGGGAUAACGUCCGGAAACGGGCGCUAAUACCGCAUACGUCCUGAGGGAGAAAGUGGGGGAUCUUCGGACCUCACGCUAUCAGAUGAGCCUAGGUCGGAUUAGCUAGUUGGUGGGGUAAAGGCCUACCAAGGCGACGAUCCGUAACUGGUCUGAGAGGAUGAUCAGUCACACUGGAACUGAGACACGGUCCAGACUCCUACGGGAGGCAGCAGUGGGGAAUAUUGGACAAUGGGCGAAAGCCUGAUCCAGCCAUGCCGCGUGUGUGAAGAAGGUCUUCGGAUUGUAAAGCACUUUAAGUUGGGAGGAAGGGCAGUAAGUUAAUACCUUGCUGUUUUGACGUUACCAACAGAAUAAGCACCGGCUAACUUCGUG
rnacentral:rRNA from 1 species